GUAUUGAAAGCGUCUUGUAGCUGUGGGUUACGUAAACCUAUAUGAAUGGGUGACAAUGAAAGGGCAAGUCUUCAUUAAGUAGGAGGACCAUGUUUUAAAAAGGCAACAACUUUGCCCCAGACAAAUAGAAUGAUUGACUAUGGGACAAGAUGGACAAACUAAAAUGAAUCACCGAACAAUGUUAAAUCAGUGACAAAAACAAGAGACAAAUAAACCCAUUCAUUUACUUCAUCCUGGGGCUGCUUUAGAUUUAGGCCUUUGAUGUGGUUUAUGCAGCCUCACACGUAUAGUAUACGGAGACAGUGGCAGGCAUGAAGGGUUCUGGAGCUGGACCCACAAUAUCUUCAAGUUCUGAAAGCUGAGAAGUACAAUGUCAAGGGACUACAUCAGGUGAAAGUCUUCUUGCUGGUGGGAACUUUCUACAGAAUCUCCAGGUGGUACAGAGUAUCACAUGGUGCAGAACCCUCAUGAUCCAAUCUCCUAUUAAGGGCCCCACUUCUCAACACUGCCAUACUGUGGACCAAGUUUCAACAUGAGUUUUGGAGGGGACAUUCAAACCACAGCAAUCUAGAACAAUGAAAGGAUAACGCCUCCCGCCAUUCUUUAUCACAUCAUACUACAAAUCCUUCCUAAUGCAAUAAAGUACAUAGAA